AUUGAACGCUGGCGGCAGGCCUAACACAUGCAAGUCGAGCGGAGCGGCGGACGGGUGAGUAAGGCCUAGGAAUCUGACUGGUCGUGGGGGAGAGCGUCCGGAAACGGGCGCUAAUACCGCAUACUAUUAGAUGAGCCUAGGUGGGAUUAGUUGGUGGGUGGGGUAAUGGCCUACCAAGGCGCCGAUCCGUAACUGGUCUGAGAGGCUGAUCAGUCAGACUGGAACUGGGACACGGUCCAGCCUCCUACGGGAGGCAGCAGUGGGGAAUAUUGGACAAUGGGCGAAAGCCUGAUCCAGCCAUGCCGCGUGUGUGAAGAAGGCCUUCGGGUUGUAAAGCACUUUCAGCGGGGAGGCGUUACCCGCAGAAGAAGCACCGGCUAACUCCGUGCCAGCAGCCGCGGUAAUAC
rnacentral:rRNA from 1 species